GAUGAAGAACGCAGCGAAAUGCGAUAAGUAAUGCGAAUUGCAGAAUUCAGUGAAUCAUCGAAUCUUUGAACGCACAUUGCGCCCGCCAGUAUUCUGGCGGGCAUGCCUGUCUGAGCGUCGUUUCGACCCUCGCGCCCGGCUUCUGUCGGGGGCGGUGUUGGGGAUCGGCCCCACCCUUCAGUGGGAGGCCGGCCCCUAAAUUCAGUGGCGACCACGCUGUAGCCUCCCCUGCGUAGUACUAAAACCACCUCGCAGGCGGAGAGCGGUGCGGCCCGCCGUAAAACCCCCCAACUUUUACAAGGUCGACCUCAGAUCAGGUAGGAAUACCCGCUGAACUUAAGCAUAUCAAUAAGCGGAGGA
rnacentral:misc_RNA from 1 species